rnacentral:ncRNA from 1 species
CCUUGGGAGUGCUAAAACAAUACAAGUAGAGGUUUGCCUCCAAAGUAAGCACACUGAAUAAGGAA